UGGGGAAUAUUGGACAAUGGGCGAAAGCCUGAUCCAGCCAUGCCGCGUGUGUGAAGAAGGUCUUCGGAUUGUAAAGCACUUUAAGUUGGGAGGAAGGGCAGUAAGUUAAUACCUUGCUGUUUUGACGUUACCGACAGAAUAAGCACCGGCUAACUCUGUGUCAG
rnacentral:rRNA from 1 species